rnacentral:rRNA from 1 species
CCUACGGGAGGCUGCAGUGGGGAAUAUUGCACAAUGGGGGAAACCCUGAUGCAGCGACGCCGCGUGAGUGAAGAAGUAUCUCGGUACGUAAAGCUCUAUCAGCAGGGAAGAAAAUGACGGUACCUGACUAAAAAGCCCCCGCUAACUACGUGCCAGCAGCCGCGGUAAUACGGAGGGGGCAAGCGUUAUCCGGAUUUUCUGGGUGGAAAGGGAGCGUAGACGGCAGUACAAGUCUGGAGUGAAAUCCCGGGGCUUAACCCCGGAACUGCUUUGGAAACUGUGGGGCUGGAGUGCAGGAGGGGUAAGCGGAAUUCCUAGUGUAGCGGUGAAAUGCGUAGAUAUUAGGAGGAACACCGGUGGCGAAGGCGGCUUACUGGACUGUAACUGACGUUGAGGCUCGAAAGCGUGGGGAGCAAACAGGAUUAGAUACCCCAGUAGUC